rnacentral:rRNA from 1 species
GGACUACUGGGGUUUCUAAUCCCGUUUGCUCCCCUGGCUUUCGCGCCUCAGCGUCAGAAGAGGUCCAGCACGCCGCUUUCGCCACCGGCGUUCCUUCCGAUAUCUACGCAUUUCACCGCUCCACCGGAAGUUCCGCAUGCCCCUACCUCCCUCAAGACCACCAGUAUCCCAGGCAAUUUUCCGGUUGAGCCGAAAGAUUUCACCCCGGACUUGGUGACCCGCCUACGCGCCCUUUAAGCCCAGUGAAUCCGAACAACGUUCGCACGGUUCGUCUUACCGCGGCUGCUGGCAC